CAAGGAAUUUUCCGCAAUGGGCGCAAGCCUGACGGAGCAACGCCGCGUGCAGGACGACGGCCUUCGGGUUGUAAACCUCUUUUCUUAGGGAAGAAGAAAGUGACGGUACCUAAGGAAUCAGCAUCGCCUAACUCCGUGCCAGCAGCCGCGGUAAUACGGAGGAUGCAAGCGUUAUCCGGAAUUAUUGGGCGUAAAGCGUCCGCAGGUGGCACUUCAAGUCUGCUGUCAAAGACCAGAGCUCAACUCUGGGCAGGCGGUGGAAACUGGGGAGCUAGAGUACGGUAGGGGUAGAGGGAAUUUCCAGUGUAGCGGUGAAAUGCGUAGAGAUUGGAAAGAACACCAGUGGCGAAGGCGCUCUACUGGACCUGUACUGACACUAAGGGACGAAAGCUAGGGGAGCGAAAGGGAUUAGAUACCCGCGUAGUCC
rnacentral:rRNA from 1 species